rnacentral:lncRNA from 7 species
GUAACCGCAUAGAAUUGCAAUCCUCUUUCAGUGCAGUGGAAAUCAAGUCGCAGGAAAGAAGAAUCAUUAUGCAAUCAGUAAAUCCCAUCGAAAGCUGCUGAUGUGGCCUGAAUUGUGGAUAGCAAAUACUGGGAAGAAAACAGCAUCUGAUGCCAUCUGCAGUCCUGGACCAAGCCCAAACUGUAACUCAGACUGAAAUGGAAUUUGUUGUUCUAGUACUGGGUCAGCUACAAAACCGCCUUUAGCAGCCUGCUCUCGGGAGAGAUUGCUUCCAGUGAAGCAGCUGGGAGACUGAAUUACUGCUCGGUGGCUGCAGAAGUGUUCAAGGUCAAAGUUAAGAACAGAAGUGAGAAAUGCGGUAAUGAACUCUUGAUUUGAGUUUGUUGAAGAUGACAGCUUAUUGCUUAGGUGAACAAAUAUACCCUGAAAAUUAUUUUAAGCAGAUAGUAGGGAUUGGGCUCAUCGUUUUCUGGAUGAGCAUUUUGUUCCAGACUGCAAACUGGAAUUCAAUUGUGAGCGUCCAGCCUAGCAGGUCAAACAGGUCCUGCCUCAUCCAGCCCGCUGCUCAUUCUUCAUGAGCUCCAGGAUUGUUAUAAACUAAUCUGUUAGUCACUGAAAAAAUCAUCUAAUGUUAUUUCAGGCCAGACCAGUCUUGCUUCUCAUUGAAUAAAGGCUGUGGAGGGCAAAAAUAAAAUGGUCAUGCAAUACAUUAUUAUAAAUCUAGGAGUUGUCUUUGGAGUGUACAGGAACAAUCUACAAUAGCAGAUCACUUUCGUGCUGUUUGCUUCUUUGCGAACCAGCUUCUCAACCUGGUAGGGUGUUUCUUUUUCUUGCUUGUUGUUGUAAGGAGUCAGUGUAGAAUUCAACUGUCUAACGCUUUACCUCGUGUUUACAUGAUGUGUUCCAUAGCAGCCAGCAUCAGCGCUGUUUGGACUUGCCAGCACUGGGCAGAGGAAGUAGGGUGCACAAACAAGGUUCAGCUCAGCUUACUAAUUGCAGUAAGUACCUAAAAUAUCAUUCAGAAAACUAUUAAAAGAAGUCUGUGCGAUAAAAGAUGUUAGAGAGGUAUUUAUGUCAAAACAGCGUUGUGAGGCAGCUCAGUGAGAGCACAGAUGUUUGGAAACAAGUGUUUGCAGUAGGCAGUGAUUACCACGUAUUUUUAUUUGUGUGUUUCUGUGUCAUUGAUGGCUGUUGAUAUAAAAUGCUCUCUUGCAGUAAGUUCAAAGCCAACCACCUACCUACUAAUUUUGUGAUGCAUUUACUGUUAAUCCUCCCCGUAGCCUUCCCUUUGUAGUUAUCUUCUAUAUGAAACUAUAUUUACUGGAAUUUGUACAGACCUUGAUCUUCAACUGACUUCAACAACGCCGUCACGUACAUCAAAAUAAAUAGAUCUUAGUGCAGCUUUC